CAAUUUUCUAUGGAGAUAGAUACUGGGAUAAGAAAUGCUUUGAAGCAUCAUAGGAAAAAAAGGAACAUAUCCUAAAGGAUCUUCUGGGUGUGGAACAUUACAGUUGAACAGAUCAAAUUCGAGAACAGAGUAAGGUCUCAAGCUAUGAAUUUUCAGAGAAAGUUUUGAUUAGCUGUGUAAUCUUCAGAAGAAGUGUAGUAAAACUCACGCAUAUGAUGACUGAAUCAGCAAAAUAGCAAUCCAAGUGUCGAUGUCAUAAGUGUAAGUUCCUUUAAGUCAACAACAUUCGAGUAGUCGGAACACGUUUCUCCGGUGGUCGGAAUAUCGCCGGAGUGGUCGGAACAUCGCCGGAGAAGACACUUUAAUAAAACAGGGUGUGAACAUAUCAGCGUAGGUAAAGCCCAAGGGGUAAAAUUGAAGUUUACUAUAUAAAUAUGGAAUAAUGGAUUAUUAAACUCCAUUAUUCCUAUAAAUAUGGGUAAGAUUACGAAAAUGUUCUUUUGGUAAGGUUACAGUUUUACCCCUAAGCGGGGUACGUUGAUGCAAUAAGAAAAUGUCCGGGGGGGGGGGGGGGGGGGUAAGACAACAAUUUUGUUCGAAAUAGGGGGUAAAGGUGCCAGUCGCCCCUAACGACAGAGGGUAAAAUUGCAGUUUACUCUAUUUAUGUGUAUCAAAAUUUUAGAUUCAAUCACCAACCCACACACGGCCCUUUAAUUUUUUUAAAUAACUAAACUUGUACACCAUGAGAAUUGAACCCAUACCUCCAAGACCCCAAACUUUAUCUAAAUCAGUAUUCAGUUUCCAGUGUAUUUGAAAUGAAUGACCAUAUAAUCAUUCAUAUUUUUCAUGUUUGUACACCAUGAGAAUUGAACCCAUACCUCCAAUACCCCAAACUUUAUCUAAAUCAGUAUUCAGUUUCCAGUGUAUUUUAAAUGAAUGACCAUAUAAAUCAUUUAUAUUUUUCAUUUAUAAGUUUUAUGAUCAUAGGCCAGCCAAUUCCCUACAUGUUGCAAACACACAUAUAUCCCAAACACAGGUGGGUUGUUUUUUCACCAGAGUAGGUUGUUUUGAUACUCAGAUGUCUAUGUACUUGACAUUAAAAAGUGGGGUCACACAACAAAAUAUAAUGUAAUUAAAAAUCUCACAUAAAAUAUACAUAAUUCUCAAAGCUUGCAAAAAUCUUCUUAGAAAAAGGAGAAUUUUUUUUUUACCAACAAAAUCACUUUAUAUAUAAAUAUAAAGAGCCAGCUUCUUGCUGGGAGAUACAAAAAGGAAAAAAACGAAACAGACAAAAAACAACAAACCGAACUAAAACCACAAGAUUACAACAUAACCGAAAUAUCGAAUAAUCUCCAAUUUUCCCAGCUUGGCAUCUUGCACUUGGAUCGAUUGCUUAACCACAAAAAAGCGUCUUCUUUGAUGUGGUCGACCGAAAUGGUAACAGGAAUAAACCGGCCGUCAAAAGUCAUCUCGUUCCUAGCCUUCCAAAUUCUCCAAACUAUUGCCAACACAACGGUAUAAACCACCCUUUUCCAUAUAUCUCCUCCAGGCUGAUUUUUAAUAAACUCCAACAUGUCACUGAUGUUACCUAUCUCCAUAGGGAAAGAAAUUCGCAUCCAUCUCAAUAUGUUCCACCAAAUGCUACGGGCCCAAAGACAUCCUAUGAAAAUAUGAUCCGGAUCCUCCAAACCCAACCCACACCGAGAGCAU
rnacentral:lncRNA from 1 species